rnacentral:rRNA from 1 species
UACGUAGGGGGCAAGCGUUGUCCGGAUUUAUUGGGCGUAAAGAGCGUGUAGGCGGCCAGACAGGUCUGCUGUGAAAACUCGAGGCUCAACCUCGAGACGCCGGUGGAAACCGUUUGGCUAGAGUCCGGAAGAGGAGAGUGGAAUUCCUGGUGUAGCGGUGAAAUGCGCAGAUAUCAGGAGGAACACCGGUGGCGAAGGCGGGUCUCUGGGCCGAUACUGACGCUGAGGAGCGAAAGCGUGGGGAGCGAACAGG